rnacentral:rRNA from 1 species
UACGUAGGGGGCGAGCGUUGUCCGGAUUUAUUGGGCGUAAAGAGCGUGUAGGCGGCCAGGCAGGUCCGCUGUGAAAACUCGAGGCUCAACCUCGAGAUGUCGGUGGAAACCGUCUGGCUAGAGUCCGGAAGAGGAGAGUGGAAUUCCCGGUGUAGCGGUGAAAUGCGCAGAUAUCGGGAAGAACACCCGUGGCGAAGGCGGCUCUCUGGGACGGUACUGACGCUGAGACGCGAAAGCGUGGGGAGCGAACAGG